GAUGAACGCUGGCGGUAUGCUUAACACAUGCAAGUCGAACGGGAUGCUUAGGCAUCUAGUGGCGGACGGGUGAGUAACGCGUGAGAAUCUGGCUCCAGGUCGGGGAUAACAGUUGGAAACGACUGCUAAUACCGGAUGUGCCGAGAGGUGAAAGAUUUAUCGCCUGGAGAUGAGCUCGCGUCUGAUUAGCUAGUUGGCGGUGUAAGGGACCACCAAGGCAUCGAUCAGUAGCUGGUCUGAGAGGAUGAUCAGCCACACUGGGACUGAGACACGGCCCAGACUCCUACGGGAGGCAGCAGUGGGGAAUUUUCCGCAAUGGGCGAAAGCCUGACGGAGCAAUACCGCGUGAGGGAGGAAGGCUCUUGGGUCGUAAACCUCUUUUCUCAAGGAAGAAGAAAGUGACGGUACUUGAGGAAUAAGCAUCGGCUAACUCCGUGCCAGCAGCCGGGGUAAUACGGAGGAUGCAAGCGUUAUCCGGAAUGAUUGGGCGUAAAGGGUCUGCAGGUGGAACUGAAAGUCUGCUGUUAAAGAGUUUGGCUUAACCAAAUAAAAGCGGUGGAAACUACAGAACUAGAGUGCGGUAGGGGCAAAAGGAAUUCCUGGUGUAGCGGUGAAAUGCGUAGAUAUCAGGAAGAACACCGGUGGCGAAAGCGUUUUGCUAGACCGUAACUGACACUGAGGGACGAAAGCUAGGGGAGCGAAUGGGAUUAGAUACCCCAGUAGUCCUAGCCGUAAACGAUGGAUACUAGGCGUGGCUUGUAUCGACCCGAGCCGUGCCGGAGCUAACGCGUUAAGUAUCCCGCCUGGGGAGUACGCACGCAAGUGUGAAACUCAAAGGAAUUGACGGGGGCCCGCACAAGCGGUGGAGUAUGUGGUUUAAUUCGAUGCAACGCGAAGAACCUUACCAAGACUUGACAUCCUGCGAAUCCCGGUGAAAGCUGGGAGUGCCUUAGGGAGCGCAGAGACAGGUGGUGCAUGGCUGUCGUCAGCUCGUGUCGUGAGAUGUUGGGUUAAGUCCCGCAACGAGCGCAACCCUCGUUUUUAGUUGCCAGCAUUAAGUUGGGCACUCUAGAGAGACUGCCGGUGACAAACCGGAGGAAGGUGGGGAUGACGUCAAGUCAGCAUGCCCCUUACGUCUUGGGCUACACACGUACUACAAUGCUACGGACAGAGGGCAGCGAGCCAGGGAUGGCAAGCGAAUCCAGAAACCGUGGCUCAGUUCAGAUCGAAGGCUGCAACUCGCCUUCGUGAAGGAGGAAUCGCUAGUAAUUGCAGGUCAGCAUACUGCAGUGAAUUCGUUCCCGGGCCUUGUACACACCGCCCGUCACACCAUGGAAGUUGGUCACGCCCGAAGUCAUUACCCCAACCGAAAGGAGGGGGAUGCCUAAGGUAGGACUGGUGACUGGGGUGAA
rnacentral:rRNA from 1 species